AUACGGAGGAUCCGAGCGUUAUCCGGAUUUAUUGGGUUUAAAGGGUGCGCAGGCGGCCAUUUAAGUCAGCGGUUAAAUCGUGGGACUCAACCCCAUUCUGCCGUUGAUACUGGGUGGCUUGAUUGCGGUCGAGGUUGGCGGAAUUCGUUGUGUAGCGGUGAAAUGCAUAGAUAUGACGAAGAACACCGAUUGCGUAGGCAGCUGACCAGACCGCAAAUGACGCUCAUGCACGAAAGUGCGGGGAUCGAACAGGAUUAGAUACCCUGGUAGUCCGCACAGUAAACGAUGAAUACUUGUUUUCGGCGAUAUAAUGUCGGAGGCAAAGCGAAAGCGAUAAGUAUUCCACCUGGGGAGUACGCCGGCAACGGUGAAACUCAAAGGAAUUGACGGGG
rnacentral:rRNA from 1 species